rnacentral:lncRNA from 1 species
CGGGUCGGAUUAUAAUUCGGGCCUUUGCGUAGAAAUCGAAACUAUGAAUAAACGCAAACUUUGUAUCGAUAAAUAAAAUUUUUUUAGAAUAAAUACAAACUCGGAGUUUAAAAAUUGAGUGAUCCAAUGGCCCAUCCAGGAUAAAACAUAAGAGAAGAUGAUAAAUACUAAGCCUACCUAAAUAAAUAUAAACUAUCUG